rnacentral:lncRNA from 1 species
UCCUAUUGUAGUAAGUAAAGCCUUCUUGCAAAAAUGAUUGACAGGGAUAUGUGACACAGAAUCACAUGAGAGCCUGAGUCAAGAUUCUAAGGUCCUAACUGAAACCAGACUUCUUGGGGAAGGUUUUGGAGGUAGCUGUGACUUCCACCUAUUCUACAAGAUUUUGUGCCCUUUGUGAGAUACCAACUUGAGAGGAGAGAGAGACUGUUUGAACAGGCUGCUGGCAGCUGGAUUGAAGACCAAAGAAGAACCAUCAAAGAUCUACUGGACCUAAUGUGGACUAGGAUCUUGGCUCAUUUCUGGACUCAUUUUGUGAGGUUCUGUUUGUGGGGAACUUAUUUAACUUAGUUUCAGGUUCAGCUAGAACUAAAGAAGACUGAUCAUGAGGCCCCUCAAUAUAUUCCUGCUGCUCUCCAUGGUUCUGUGCUGCUUCUUGGAUACUGUUCAAGUUAAAAAAGAACCCCGAGAGGCUAAUUGUGAUUUUGCUAGUGGAUGCAAUUAUGACCCUGUCUGUGGCACUGAUGAAAUUACCUAUGCCAAUGAAUGUCUUCUGUGUAUUGUAAAUAAGGGAAGAAAUUUUGAUGCCCUCAUCAGAAAAUCUGGGAAAUGCUAAGAAACCAAAAUAUCUUGGAGCCCCCAGUAGGGUGGUACCAUGGCUAGCCAGCCUGAGUUAUUAAUAAAUACAUGAGAUUGAC